rnacentral:tRNA from 1 species
UAAGCUGUGUAUAAGUGACAGAGACACCGCCUUUUCACGGCGGUAACACGGGUUCGAAUCCCGUACGGACUAU